rnacentral:sRNA from 1 species
GUUCCAGAUCAAAUAAUCUGAUUGUAGCAAAUUUGGGGAAGUUGAAAGUCAAAAAUAAGUUUCUGUUUGCUGGUUUUCCUGGCACCUUUUCCUUACAAGAUAAGGAAUCUGUGCCUUCAGCUUCCCCAACGGGUACUCCCAAACACAGUCUGAGGAAAACGACAAGCAUGGAGGAGCCCAGGGGAACGCAUUCCCAGGGGCAGUUCACGAUGCCUCUUGCUGGAAUGGGCCUAGGAAGCCUGAAGAGUGAGUUUGUGCCCAGUACCUCCACCAAGCAGCGAGGGCCGCAACCCACACUGUCUGUUGGCCAAGUGUCCAGUAGUCCAGAAGACCAUGUCUGCCUGCUGGAUUGCAUUGUCGUGGAUCUCCAGGACAUGGACAUCUUUGCUGCAGAGAGACAUCCAAGAGAAUACUCCAAGGCACCAGAGGACAGUAGUGGAGAUCUGAUCUUCCCUUCCUAUUUUGUGCGACAGACAGGAGGAAGCCUCUUAACCGAGCCUUGUAGGCUGAAAUUGCAGGUGGAAAGGAAUUUGGACAAAGAAAUAAGUCAUACUGUGCCAGACAUAUCUAUCCAUGGCAAUCUCUCCUCAGUCCACUGCUCUCUGGAUCUGUAUAAAUACAAGCUGAUCCGCGGCUUAUUAGAGAACAACCUGGGAGAACCCAUAGAGGAAUUUAUGCGGCCUUAUGAUUUACAAGAUCCAAGAAUUCAUACUGUCCUGAGUGGAGAAGUGUACACCUGCAUGUGCUUCCUCAUUGAUAUGGUGAAUGUAAGUCUGGAGCUUAAAGAUCCAAAAAGAAAAGAAGGUGCUGGAUCCCUAGCCAGAUUUGACUUCAAGAAAUGCAAACUGCUCUAUGAAAGUUUUUCCAACCAAACCAAGUCCGUUAACUUGGUUGCCCAUUCCAUGGUGGCUUUUGACACGCGUUUUGCUGGGCAGAAGACCAGCCCUGGCAUGGCCAACGUGUUCAGCUGCAUCUUCCAGCCUGCCAGGAACAGCAGCACCGCCCAAGGGGCCAUUCAGAUUGAACUACAUUUCAGAUCUACCAAGGAUUCCUCCUGCUUUACAGUAGUUCUCAACAAUCUCCGUGUGUUUCUCAUAUUUGACUGGCUACUGUUAGUCCAUGAUUUUCUCCACACUCCCAGUGAUAUUAAGAAACGAAAUCAUGUUACUCCUUCUCGCCAUCGUAACUCUAGCAGCGAAUCUGCUAUAGUUCCCAAAACUGUGAAGAGUGGAGUAGUUACCAAGCGGUCUUCCCUUCCUGUGUCCAAUGAAAGGCACCUGGAGGUCAAGGUCAAUGUAACAGGUACGGAGUUUGUGGUCGUUGAAGAUGUGUCCUGCUUUGACACCAAUGCCAUUAUUCUGAAAGGCACCACAGUGCUCACCUAUAAGCCCCGGUUUGUUGAUCGCCCCUUUUCAGGAAGUUUGUUUGGCAUCGAGGUGUUUUCAUGCCGACUAGGGAAUGAGCAUGAUACAGCUCUUUCAAUUGUGGAUCCCGUACAAAUUCAAGUGGAGUUGGUGGGGAAUUCUUCUUAUCAAAAUAGUUCAGGAUUGAUGGAUGCAUUCAAUAGUGAAGAUUUCCCACCUGUCCUGGAGAUUCAGUUACAAGCCCUGGAUAUCAGACUCUCCUAUAAUGAUGUUCAGCUGUUUCUUGCCAUUGCAAAAUCCAUCCCAGAGCAAGCUAAUGCUGCAGUGCCAGACUCAGUGGCCCUGGAGUCAGACUCCAUUGGCACUUACCUUCCAGGUGCAUCUCGCGUUGGAGAGGAAAUCAGAGAAGGGACAAGACACACCUUAGAUCCUGUCUUGGAGUUACAGCUGGCUAGGCUGCAGGAGCUGGGAUUCAGCAUGGAUGAUUGUCGCAAAGCUCUUUUGGUGUGUCAAGGCCAAUUGAAAAAGGCAGCAAGUUGGUUGUUUAAGAAUGCGGAACCUCUGAAGUCUCUUUCCUUGGCCUCCACCAGCCGAGAUAGCCCAGGGGCUGUGGCAGCGCCAUUGAUCUCUGGCGUGGAGAUCAAAGCUGAGAGUGUGUGCAUCUGUUUCAUCGAUGACUGCAUGGAUUGUGAUGUUCCUCUCGCUGAACUCACCUUUUCCCGUCUGAAUUUUCUUCAGCGUGUAAGAACUAGCCCUGAAGGCUAUGCCCACUUCACCCUUUCUGGAGAUUAUUAUAACCGUGCUCUUUCAGGCUGGGAGCCAUUUAUUGAGCCUUGGCCAUGCUCUGUAUCCUGGCAACAGCAGGCAGCUAGUCGUCUCCAUCCUCCUCGACUGAAGCUAGAAGCCAAGGCCAAACCUCGUUUGGAUAUCAAUAUCACUUCUGUGCUAAUUGACCAGUAUGUAAGUACCAAGGAAUCAUGGAUGGCAGAUUACUGUAAAGAUGACAAAGAAAUAGAGUCAGCUAAAUCAGAAGACUGGAUGGGCUCUUCGGUGGAUCCUCCAUGUUUUGGACAAACAGAGGUGAAAACCCCCAAGCGCCGGCAGCCAUUUGUCCCCUUUGCUCUGAGGAACCACACGGGGUGCACUUUGUGGUUUGCCACCCUGACCACCACACCCACCAGAGCCGCACUGUCUCACAGCGGGAGUCCAGGGGUAGUUCCAGAAGGGAAUGGAACAUUUCUCGAUGAUACUCACAAUGUUAGUGAAUGGCGAGAAGUCCUUACAGGUGAAGAGAUUCCCUUUGAAUUUGAAGCAAGAGGAAAGUUAAGACACAGACACACCCAUGACCUCCGGAUUCAUCAACUGCAAGUGAGAGUAAAUGGCUGGGAGCAAGUGAGCCCAGUGUCUGUGGACAAAGUCGGGACCUUUUUUCGAUAUGCAGCACCAGAUAAAAAUUCAUCUUCCUCUACGAUUGGCAGCCCAAGCAGCAGAACGAAUAUUAUACAUCCCCAGGUUUAUUUCUCUUCACUCCCACCAGUGCGGGUGGUCUUUGCAGUGACUAUGGAAGGCAGUGCGCGGAAAGUCAUCACUGUCCGGUCAGCCCUCAUUGUGAGGAACAGACUUGAGACACCAAUGGAACUAAGACUGGAUAGCCCAUCAGCUCCAGACAGUAUGUUUUGAUUGUCUAGAAUAUAGUAAAUGCUGAUAAAUAUUUCUUGACUGUUGUCAAGUCUCUUUUUCCCCAGUGGUAUCUUCCCCAGCAGUCAGUAUAUAUGGUCUGUCUUCUUUUGUCCUGAGAUGGUCAGUCUUUGGGGUGGAGGACCAUUGCCUGAAAGUAUUAACCCUUAUUUCUGUGGCAGAGCCAGUGGUGCUUCCUGCUAUCAUGCCAGGGGAUUCGUUUGCUGUGCCUUUACACCUCACUUCUUGGCGGCUACAGGCCCGGCCCAAAGGAUUGGGUGUAUUUUUCUGUAAGGCUCCCAUUCAUUGGACCAAUGUAGUGAAGACUGCAGAAAUUAGUAGCAGUAAACGAGAGUGCCACUCUAUGGACACAGAAAAAAGCCGAUUUUUCAGGUUUUGUGUGGCUAUAAAGAAAGAGAAUUAUCCAGAUUAUAUGCCCUCAAACAUAUUUUCUGACAGCGCAAAACAGAUUUUCAGACAGCCUGGGCAUACCAUAUAUCUCCUGCCAACUGUGGUAAUCUGCAACUUGCUACCCUGUGAACUUGAUUUUUAUGUUAAAGGAAUGCCAAUUAAUGGGACGCUGAAACCUGGCAAGGAGGCAGCUCUCCACACAGCUGAUACAUCCCAGAACAUUGAGCUGGGGGUAUCACUGGAGAAUUUCCCCCUCUGUAAAGAAUUGCUCAUUCCACCUGGAACCCAAAACUAUAUGGUGAGGAUGCGACUCUAUGACGUCAACCGUCGGCAGCUGAACCUCACCAUCCGGAUUGUGUGUCGAGCAGAAGGAUCCUUAAAGAUCUUCAUUUCUGCUCCAUAUUGGCUAAUUAACAAAACAGGGUUGCCACUGAUCUUCAGACAGGACAAUGCCAAGACAGAUGCUGCAGGCCAGUUUGAGGAGCAUGAGCUGGCUCGGAGCCUGAGUCCUCUCUUAUUCUGCUAUGCUGACAAAGAGCAGCCAAACCUCUGCACGAUGAGAAUCGGAAGGGGGAUUCAUCCAGAAGGCAUGCCGGGCUGGUGUCAGGGCUUCUCCCUGGAUGGUGGUAGUGGUGUCCGAGCUUUGAAAGUCAUCCAGCAAGGAAACCGCCCAGGGCUGAUCUAUAACAUUGGUAUUGAUGUCAAGAAAGGCCGAGGUCGAUACAUUGACACCUGCAUGGUCAUCUUUGCCCCCCGUUACCUGUUAGAUAAUAAAUCAUCUCACAAGCUUGCAUUUGCACAGAGGGAAUUUGCCAGGGGACAGGGAACAGCCAAUCCCGAAGGUUACAUUUCCACCCUUCCUGGUUCCAGUGUGGUGUUCCACUGGCCUCGGAAUGACUAUGAUCAGCUGUUGUGUGUCAGACUGAUGGAUGUUCCCAAUUGUAUUUGGUCUGGAGGCUUUGAAGUCAACAAGAAUAAUUCCUUCCAUAUCAACAUGAGGGAUACCUUGGGAAAAUGCUUCUUCCUACGAGUGGAAAUUACUCUCCGAGGAGCUACAUAUAGGAUCUCAUUUAGUGACACAGAUCAGUUACCUCCUCCUUUCCGAAUUGACAACUUUUCUAAGGUCCCGGUUGUCUUUACUCAGCAUGGCGUAGCUGAACCCAGGCUGCGGACUGAAGUGAAGCCCAUGACUUCAUUGGAUUAUGCCUGGGACGAACCCACCUUGCCACCUUUUAUCACUCUGACUGUUAAAGGGGCAGGGUCCUCCGAGAUCAACUGCAACAUGAAUGAUUUCCAGGAUAAUCGGCAGCUUUAUUAUGAAAAUUUCAUUUACAUUGCUGCUACAUAUACAUUCUCUGGCUUGCAGGAGGGAACAGGCAGGCCUGUGGCUUCCAACAAGGCCAUUACCUGUGCGGAGCUUGUUUUGGAUGUCUCGCCCAAGACACAAAGAGUCAUUUU